AGACGCUGAGUUUUGCCAAAUUCCAGCACUUGUGAAGCUGCAUCUGCAGUGCUGGAUCCUGCUCUGAGUUCCCCAAUACAACAGAGAGAUGGAACGGAUUGUUUACAAAUGUCUUCCCAGCACCU